rnacentral:rRNA from 1 species
UUCGCCCUUAGAGUUUGAUCCUGGCUCAGAGCGAACGCUGGCGGCAGGCUUAACACAUGCAAGUCGAACGGGCUUCUUCGGAAGUCAGUGGCAGACGGGUGAGUAACACGUGGGAACGUGCCCUUCGGUUCGGAAUAACUCAGGGAAACUUGAGCUAAUACCGGAUACGCCCUUAUGGGGAAAGGUUUACUGCCGAAGGAUCGGCCCGCGUCUGAUUAGCUUGUUGGUGGGGUAACGGCCUACCAAGGCGACGAUCAGUAGCUGGUCUGAGAGGAUGAUCAGCCACACUGGGACUGAGACACGGCCCAGACUCCUACGGGAGGCAUCAGAAGGG